CCUACGGGAGGCAGCAGUCGGGAAUUUUGGGCAAUGGGCGAAAGCCUGACCCAGCAACGCCGCGUGAAGGAUGAAGUAUUUCGGUAUGUAAACUUCGUAAGAAUAGGAAACGGUACUAUUUGUAAGGUCCGGCUAACUACGUGCCAGCAGCCGCGGUAAUACGUAGGGACCAAGCGUUGUUCGGAUUUACUGGGCGUAAAGGGCGCGUAGGCGGCGUGACAAGUCACUUGUGAAAUCUCCGGGCUUAACUCGGAACGGCCAAGUGAUACUGUCGUGCUAGAGUGCAGAAGGGGCAAUCGGAAUUCUUGGUGUAGCGGUGAAAUGCGUAGAUAUCAAGAGGAACACCUGAGGUGAAGACGGGUUGCUGGGCUGAACUGACGCUGAGGCGCGAAAGCUAGGGGAGCAAACGGGAUUAGAUACCCUAGUAGUC
rnacentral:rRNA from 1 species